GAUAAGACAACAGGGAUUGCCCUAGUAACGGCGAGUGAAGCGGCAACAGCUCAAAUUUGAAAUCUGGCCCUCGGGUCCGAGUUGUAAUUUGUAGAGGAUGCUUUUGGCGCGGUGCCUUCCGAGUUCCCUGGAACGGGACGCCUUAGAGGGUGAGAGCCCCGUACGGUUGGACACCAAGCCUCUGUAAAGCUCCUUCGACGAGUCGAGUAGUUUGGGAAUGCUGCUCUAAAUGGGAGGUAAAUUUCUUCUAAAGCUAAAUAUUGGCCAGAGACCGAUAGCGCACAAGUAGAGUGAUCGAAAGAUGAAAAGCACUUUGAAAAGAGGGUUAAAUAGCACGUGAAAUUGUUGAAAGGGAAGCGUUUGCGACCAGACCUUUUCCUGGCGGAUCAUCCGGUGUUCUCACCGGUGCACUUCGCCAGGUUGAGGCCAGCAUCGGUUUCCGCAGGGGGAUAAAAGCUCUGGGAAUGUAGCUCCCUCGGGAGUGUUAUAGCCCUCUGCAUAAUACCCUUGCGGGGACCGAGGACCGCGCUUCGGCAAGGAUGCUGGCAUAAUGGUCGUCAACGACCCGUCUUGAAACACGGACCAAGGAGUCGAACAUUUGUGCGAGUGUUUGGGUGUUAAACCCUCACGCGUAAUGAAAGUGAACGGAGGUGAGAGCCCUUACGGGUGCAUCAUCGACCGAUCCUGAUGUCUUCGGAUGGAUUUGAGUAAGAGCAUAACUGUUCGGACCCGAAAGAUGGUGAACUAUGCGUGGAUAGGGUGAAGCCAGAGGAAACUCUGGUGGAGGCUCGCAGCGGUUCUGACGUGCAAAUCGAUCGUCAAAUCUGCGCAUGGGGGCGAAAGACUUAUCGAACCAUCUAGUAGCUGGUUACCGCCGAAGUUUCCCUCAGGAUAGCAGUGUUGUUCUUCAGUUUUAUGAGGUAAAGCGAAUGAUUAGGGACUCGGGGGCGCUUUUUAGCCUUCAUCCAUUCUCAAACUUUAAAUAUGUAAGAAGCCCUUGUUACUUAAUUGAACGUGGGCAUUCGAAUGUACCAACACUAGUGGCCAUUUUUGGUAAGC
rnacentral:rRNA from 1 species